UGGCAGGUACAGAGGGGUGCUACCGGGUGACCGGAUGCCGAUCUCGAAAACCUGUCCCAGUUCGGACUGGAGUCUGCAACCCGACUCCACGAAGUUGGAUUCGCUAGUAAUCGCGCAUCAGCCAUGGCGCGGUGAAUACGUUCCCGGGCCUUGUACACACCGCCCGUCAAGCCAUGGGAGCCGGGGGCGCCUGAAGUCCGGGACCGCGAGGACCGGCCUAGGGCGAAACUGGUGACUGGGGCUAAGUCGUAACAAGGUAGC
rnacentral:rRNA from 1 species